GGGACACUUCACCCUCAAUGCAACAGGAUGUCAAGUGGGAUAUGCAGCUGCUGAUGAGAGUUUCUGGGGGAAGAUGGAUUGGAGCAGACACUGUGAGAUGGGUUAUGGGCAGAGAAUCCACUGGAGGAUCCAAGGGCUCUGGGGAAUGGUGGAUCCUUUCUAUGGAAGAGCUUGGGCUCAUCAGUAACUGCUGGGUAGAGCAGACCAUGUUCAUAGGUAAAGACCCAUGCUGCACUAUGACAGGGCUAAGAAAAUAGCACUUGAUUCUUAAAC
rnacentral:lncRNA from 1 species